UGGAAGGUCGUCAUCUCCGGUGAGGUGGCAGGACUUCAAAUCCUGUUGAGGACGCCAGCGUUCUCGGGUGGGUUCGACUCCCAUGACUUUCCGCCA
rnacentral:tRNA from 1 species